rnacentral:lncRNA from 1 species
AGCAGCCGUUGGCUCUGGUGCCCCUGGGGGUGGGAGCACGAGUGGGCAAGGAUGAUGGUGAGGCAGAGGAGGCGGCCCCGAGGGAGCGCCCGGCUGAGAGGCGGGGGGCCGAGGGGCCCGGGGAGCGGGCGUCACCGAGGGCCCUGGAAGCGGCAGGGCUGGGGGAGAGGAGACGCGUGUGUGGAGCAUGGGGACCCCAGCCCAGCUCCCACUUGCAGACCUGGGCCGCGGGCUGCCGGCCGAGUGGCCGGGGGGCCUGGCUGCCCAGGAGGCGGGCCGGGGCCGCGGCCGGGGGCGCGGAGCGGAGUUAGGGUCGCCAGGCCGAGCCGAGGUGGGACGGACCGACGCAGAGAGGAAGGGAAGCCACCUGGCCUGAAGAUCCUGUCUCUAAGAUCCCAUUCUGAGAGUUUUGCUCUUCUUGCCCAGGCUGGAGUGCAAUGGCAUGAUGUUGGCUCACCACAACCUCCACUUCCUGGGUUCAAGUGAUUCUCCUGCCUCAGCCUCCUGUGUAGCUGGGAUUACAGGCAUGCUCCACCACGACCGACUAAUUUUGCAUUUUUAGUAGAGACGGGAUUUCUCCAUGUUGUUCAUGUUGGUUUCGAACUCCCAACCUCAGGUGAUCUGCCUGCCUCCGCCUCCCAAAGUGCUGGGAUUACAGGUUGUGAGCCACUAUGCCCGGCCUCUCUUAAUCUAUUUCUGAGAGUUCUGUUACAUAUUCUGAUGUUUAAUCUUCAGUUAUAUGUAUUAGAUAUCUUCCACCAAAGUACAGUUUGCCUUUUAAUUUUAUUAGAUUUUCUAUUGCAUGUUGAAAAGUAGGUGAUAUUUUUGUGUCUUAU